AAAGGGCGAUCACUUAUAGGUUUAUGACUGGUACCUUUUUCAAUGUGUGAAUUUUUAUUUGCUUGCUGCAAAGAACAAAGGAACAUGUUAAUCUUUAUUUGGAGGUGUAAUUCACAUGCAAAACGGAACAGUAAAAUGGUUCAACGCUGAUAAAGGCUUCGGUUUCAUCGAAGUUGAAGGCGGAGAAGAUGUAUUCGUACACUUCAGCGCUAUUACAGGCGAAGGCUUCAAAACGCUGGACGAAGGUCAACGCGUGCAAUUUAAAAUUGUACAAGGAAACCGUGGUCCUCAAGCAGAAGAAGUUGUAAAACUGUAAUUAAAGCAUAGCUGCCUUUAA
rnacentral:sRNA from 1 species